UGUAUAAUUAGGUUAACGAAAGGACUGCACUGUUGUAGGAUUCCAUAUUAUCCAAAGCAACCAUGACGAUAUUAUCUUUUGAACUCUACUUCCAUUAGCAGCAGCAAAAGUAAUAGUGUUAAAAAUAAAUGCAAAUCAUUGUUGUAUGGUCUAAUGUAUGGGUAACAAAGACAACCGCUUUAUAAAAUCAUUGUGAAGCGCACUAUUUACAUCUUGUGAUAUCUUGUGGCUGAAGGGAGAAUCCCAUGACUAGUUAGUACCAGAGCAAAUGUGUCAGUGGAAAGAAUCAACUUUCUCAGGUACCAUAAAUAGGAAAAGGCUUCGAAAAUGGUUCAAAACUACAUUCGCUAGAACACUCACAAGUAGGAAUUCACGCUCUACACAUGUGCCAUCCUAAUUUAGUGUAGACAGCUCUAGAUGAUAAUAAAUAAUAUGAAGCUCCUUUCAAGUCCUAUAUAACACGAUUUGUUCAUUGAAAAUCAAGUGGUGUGUUGAUUUUGGUAUCAAGUUUUACUUCUCUUUACUUACACGCCACACAGCACACGGUACAUAGAUAUUUUAGAGAACCACAUGGUACACAUAUUUUAGAGAAGUGUGCUUUAAAGGUGGAGGUGGAGCCCCCUAUGGAUUCAAUCAUUCAAAAUUAGGAGACUAAAAACAAAAACCUAUAGUUAUCAGCCGAAAAAGUCAAGAGAUUGUCCACUUCCGAAAAAUCCACAUCUUCUUCCUAAUCAUAAGCCAAAGUCAAGCUAUUGGUAAGGCAAUUGCAGGGAGUAUGAGUGUAGCAUCUAGCUAUGAAUGCAAUGUGCAAAAUAUGUCUCCAAUUUGGAGAAGGAACUGGCAGCCAAAGAUACAAAAAUUUUAAGGAUUGAGACAACAGUGAUCACGCCUACAUGGGCCCUUUCUCUUCUGUUGAACAAAAGCUGGCAGGAUUGAGACAACAGUGAUCACGCCUACAUGGGCCCUUUCUCUUCUGUUGAACAAAAGCUGCGUGCUGAAAAAAUAAACACAAGAUGAGUUGGACGUCCAAUUGGGAAAGCAUCGCCUAGUGGAGGAAUCAGCUAUGAAGACAACUUAAUCUACCUACAAGCCAUUGUCAAGUGGAAACAUUACGAGUAUAGCCUGCAAGCUAUUGUCUACUCCAAAUGUUUGGUAGUGUUUAUAGAACCUAAGGAGGUAUGAUCUUCUUAGCUUUUCUGUCAUUAAGCAGAAUGGAAAGUAAGAAAAAAUGUGUGGCACAAACUUCCCCAAUUAGCUCAGGCAGGUUCCCAACGUUUGGACUUGGAGAACGUGGGAAGCAAAUCUGCUCACCUCAUUGGUUUGUUUUGUAGGUGGUCUCCUUGCUUAAAUGAAUUUUGAAUUUCUUAAAUCAUAUCUUAUCUGAUCUGGAAAGUAUUUUAAAUUAUUGAGGUUGUAGUUUAUUUUAUUAUCUACAGAUUAAAAAGAAAGAAAAUUCUCCUCUAACUCCAACUUCCUCUCUAUCUUUUCUACAAGCUAGUUUCUCUACAAUAUAGUGAGUUACACGGGUUCUUUGCCUAACAACUCAAGAUCCUUUAAGCGGAGACAAACUAAAACUUCAAAAGCCCAAGAAACCGGAUAAUAUUAUAACCAUAUAUAAUUUUUCAAAAUGAUUUUCAUUACAUUCUAAUUAAAAAAACUACCCAAAUUUUGGGUCAAGAUAAUCAAUUGGUGAAUGAGACGGAGCAAUUAGCAAAGUGGGAAUUGGAUUGUUUUGAUGCACUUGAUGGUUAAAAAGUUUAGUUAGAAUUUUUUUUUUUUUUUCCUUAAAAUUUGACACAAUAAAUUUUGGAUCUUUGGUUGCCAGUUCCUUCUCCAAAUUGGAGACAUAUUUUGCACAUUGCAUUCAUAGCUAGAUGCUACACUCAUACUCCCUGCAAUUGCCGUACCAAUAGCUUUACUUUGGCUUAUGAUUAGGAAGAAGAUGUGGAUUUUGCAGAAGUGGACAAUCUCGACUUUUUCGGCUGAUAACUAUAGGUUUUUGUUUUUAGUCUCCUAAUUUUGAAUGAUUGAAUCCAUAGGGGGCUCCACCUCCACCUUUAAAGCACACUUCUCUAAAAUAUGUGUACCAUGUGGUUCUCUAAAAUAUCUAUGUACCGUGUACUGUGUGGCGUGUAAGUAAAGAGAAGUAAAACUUGAUACCAAAAUCAACACACCACUUGAUUUUCAAUGAACAAAUCGUGUUAUAUAGGACUUGAAAGGAGCUUCAUAUUAUUUAUUAUCAUCUAGAGCUGUCUACACUAAAUUAGGAUGGCACAUGUGUAGAGCGUGAAUUCCUACUUGUGAGUGUUCUAGCGAAUGUAGUUUUGAACCAUUUUCGAAGCCUUUUCCUAUUUAUGGUACCUGAGAAAGGUGAUUCUUUCCACUGACACAUUUGCUCUGGUACUAACUAGUCAUGGGAUUCUCCCUUCAGCCACAAGAUAUCACAGUUUUUGGGCUUCUUCUUGCUACAAUCUGUUUGUUGUUGGCAACGGUAUUUAAUGCCAAAGGGAACAAGAAGAAAGGCAAAAGGCCACAGGAGCCGUCCGGGCGAUGGCCUAUUAUCGGUCACCUUCAUCUUCUAGGAGCAGACAAGCUGCCACAUCGGACACUUGGAGACAUGGCUGAUAAGUAUGGACCAAUCUUUUGCAUUCAUCUUGGCCUUCGUAAAGCUCUGGUGGUUAGUAGCUGGGAAGUAGCAAAGGAAUGCUACACUACCAAUGACAAGGUAUUCGCCACUCGACCAAGAUCCUUAGCAGUAAAGCUCAUGGGCUAUGAUCAUGCCAUGUUAGGAUUUGCUCCCUAUGGACCAUACUGGCGUGAUGUGCGGAAGCUAGCCAUGGUUGAGCUCCUCUCAAACCGCCAGCUUGAGAUGCUCAAACAUGUCCAGGACUCAGAAGUUGAGUUCUUAAUAAAAGAGCUCUAUGGGCAAUGGGCACGAAACAAGGACAGCCCCGCUUUGGUGGAGAUGAAGGAAAGAUUUGGGAACUUGGUAAUGAAUGUAAUGGUGAGAGCAAUUGCAGGGAAACGGUAUUUUGGGACCCAUGCCUGUGAUGAUGAGCCAAAACGGGGCAAAAAGGCCUUGGACGAUUUUAUGCUUCUAGUGGGGCUGUUCAUGGUCUCGGAUGCCAUCCCUUUUCUCGGCUGGUUGGACACGGUGAAAGGGUAUACCACUGAUAUGAAGAAAAUAGCUAAGGAGUUGGAUUAUUUGCUUGGAAGGUGGGUGGAGGAGCAUCGCCAGCAAAGGCUUUCCGCAAACAACAACAGGGCUGAGGUAGACUUCCUCCAUGUCAUGCUUUCCGUCAUAGAUGAUGGCCAAUUCUCUGGUCGUGAUCCUGAUACCGUCAUUAAGGCCACUUGCUUGGUAUGUCCCUGCUACUUCCAUAACUUGACCAUGAAAUGAAAAGAGAAAAAAAAAAACACCAUCUACUAUCAUAAUUUCUGCAACUUUUUCUGCCCAAUUUCCUAAACCCUCCUCGCAUUUCUACAAGCAUUCAUCAAAUCCAGUAUAGCUUUAUCAUCUGUAUUUAUCAUGACAAACCAGGUGGGGUGAUCGAAUUUCACUUAGAUUCCUUAUUCACGGUUUGUUUUAUCAUUCUGCUAAACAUGGUAUUUCACUACUGAUAAGUAAACUUUUCCUGAUCACAUAUUGAAGUCGACAUCAUUUGUUGAUUGCAGAACCUCAUAUUAGCUGGCUAUGACACAACAUCUAUCACUCUUACAUGGGCCCUCUCUCUUCUACUGAACAACCGCCAUGCGCUAAAAAAGGCACAAGCAGAGCUGGAAAUCCAUGUGGGUAAGCAUCGCCAAGUGGAUGGAUCAGAUAUAAAGAACCUAGUCUACCUGCAAGCCAUCGUCAAGGAAACAUUACGAUUGUACCCUCCUGGGCCACUUUCCGUGCCGCAUGAGGCCAUGGAAGAUUGCACUGUGGCAGGCUUUCACAUCCAAGCUGGGACGCGCCUUUUGGUUAAUCUCUGGAAGUUGCAUCGUGACCCCAGAGUCUGGUUGGACCCUUUGGAGUUCCAACCAGAGAGGUUCCUGACAAACCAUGCAGGUUUGGAUGUUAGGGGUAAAAAUUAUGAACUUCUACCCUUUGGUUCAGGUAGAAGGGUAUGCCCAGGAAUCUCAUUUGCACUGGAGUUGACGCAUCUGGCACUAGCCAGACUGCUUCAUGGUUUUGAAUUGGGAGUAGUUGCAGAUUCACCGGUGGAUAUGACUGAAGGUCCUGGGUUGAGUGCCCCCAAAGCAACCCCGCUGGAGGUCACCAUUGUUCCAAGGCUACCUUUCGAGCUCUAUAGUUAUGAAGCAGCAUAGAAAGUAAAUAAUACUCUGUGAGCCAGAGAGUCCCCUAAUUAGCCCAAUGCUUUAGGGUAUAUUUAUGUUGUGUAACUCACUUUGAAUGGCCUGUGUAGUGGGUGUUCUCCUUUCUUGUCUUCUCGUCUCAAAUUUCAUCCACUUGGAUAGUAAUAAAUUUCCAUCUAUGAGUAAUUCUUUGUGUUACUUAAAAUAUAGACCACAACUGCACCAGCAACAAAAGGCUGUUGCAACAACAGAACUCAACAAAACCAAGAUCACUCAAGAAUUGUGCAAGUAGUUAGCAAUAUGGUAGUGUAGUUUGAAACUGUGCAAAUAGUUAGGAAUCUGAUUGUGUAGUUUGUUAUAGCUGAAACUUUAAAUAGCAGAGUAGAGAACCUCUCCUGAACAUGUAAUUCUUCAUCUCAAUAUACAGAAAUUAAAUUUGCAUUCUCCUGAUACAAACUUACAUGGUAUCAGAGCCACCCCGUAUUUCCUUCUCUUCGCAUCAGUUUCAUGGUUCCACCAUGGCAAUCUCAACUCAGUCUUCUCGGAUACAAGCUAGAGCUGCAAAUUCGUCCUCAGCCAUAACUCAAUCAAUGCAGAUGUUGAAUCAUGCACUGCCCAUUAAACUUGAUAAAGAUAAACUACCUGUGUUGGAAAACACAACUGGAGAAUGUGAACUUUGCAAACGGCUUUGAAGACCACAUUGAAGGUUUGACAGUCUGUCCUUCAAAAACAACAAGCAAUGGUGAAACAAAUCCAGAGUUUAUUCUUUGGAAAAGAUUUGACCGAAUGAUCCUUAGUUGGAUCUACUCCUCACUUACUCCAGAAAUUAUGGGUCAAAUAAAAGUGUAUCAAAUCUCCCAUGAAGCAUGGUCUGCUCUGGAAAAGAUCUUCUCAGCUUCAUCCAAAGCUUGGGUGAUGCAAUUACAACUAGAAUUUCAAACCACGAAGAAAGGAUCCCUUUCAAUGAUGGAUUACAAUCUCAAGCUGAAGAAUCUGACUGACCACUUAGUUGCCAUUGGAGAACUGGUAUACGACAGAGAUCAUAUUCUGCAACUGCUUGGAGGGCUUGGUGUGGAAUACAAUUCCAUUGUGGCCUCUCUUGUAGCAAGAGAAGAUGAAGUUUCACUGCAUACGGUGCACAAUAUUCUGUUAACCUAUCAACAGUGCCUAAAUCUUCAGAAUUCGACAGAAAACAAUGUAAUCUCUACAAAUCUCACUACCACGUCAUCAAAUCACCACAACAACAGAAGGAAUUCCAAUCGAAAUUCCUCAGGAAACAAUAGCAGAAUAGUCAACUCCGAACGCAACUCUCAUGGCAAUAGAAACUUGGUCUCUCAAAAUCACCCACAAAGUAAACUUUGUAGAAAGUCUGGACAUAGUGUGGUCCAAUGCUAUCAUCGUUUUGAUAUAAACUUCCAAAGGGUAAAUACCAACUCUGAAUCUAAGCCCCAUGCAACUAACAGAAAUCGAGAUUAAGCCCAUGUUGUGAUUGCAUCUUCUAUUAACAUAAAGAGUAAGGAAUGGUUCUUUGAUACUCGCGCCACCCAUCAUCUUUCUCAAACUACCACCUCUCUGGACAAUAAACAAUCAUAUAAUGGCAAUGACAAGGUGACAAUCGGGAAUGGUACACAAUUUCCCAUUCUUCAUACGGGUACUAAAAUUUUUCAGUUUCCUUUUAAAGUGUUUCAAUUAAAAAGAGUUCUUCAUGCUCCUCAUCUUGCAACCAAUCUUGUUAGUGUCUCUCAAUUCUGUGCUGACAACAAUACAUUUGCUCUCAGUUCUUUCUUGUCAAAGAACAGGUUACCAAGAAAGUUCUUCUCAAAGGUCAUCUCGAACGAGGAUUGUAUAAAUUUCCUACCAAUUUUAGCUCCACUACAGGCAUGUUCUCUAGCCUCAACAACUUUUCAUCUUCAAAUUCCACGAUUGAGCUUUAGCAUUCUCAACUUGGUCAUCCUGCUGAAGAUAUAUUGAAACACGUUCUGAACAACUGUAAUAUUUCUUAUCAAUGUAAUAAACACCAAAUCUAUUGUGUCUAUCAAUAUGCCAAAAGUCACAAGUUGCCUUUUUCGUUGUCCAUGUCAAGAGCAUCUCAUCCUUUAGUACUUGUUCAUGCUAAUUGUUGGUUGUAGUUUCACCCUUAAAACAGAGAUUGGCUAUAAAAAAAAAUAAAAAAUGGAAGAGUAACACCUAGGAAUAGAGGAGUUAAAAAUAGUCCACCAAAAAACAAAGGACCUUUUUUCUUUUCCUCACUUUGUAUUCUCGGUUAUGUUGUUUUUGUUGUACAGAAUGUAGUUUUCAAACCAAAUGCAAAGAGAUUUAACUUGAGUAAACCUCUCCACAUGGAAGCAUGACAACCACUCAAAACAUAAAAACAAAAAACUUAUUGUGAUGUUCCUCCAUACCCAAAAGCUUUCGGAAGUGAACCCAAAAGUUUCUCAACAAUUCUUUUAUCACUAAUUUCUUCGCCAUAUGACUUCAUCUGAUUAACUAAUCUAAAAGAAAACUCAUUUAGAAUUUCAUUCUCCUUCAUUUUCAUAUUUUCCAACUCUCUUCUUAAAGCUUGAAGCUUUACUGACCGGGUUCUUUUAUCUCCUUGGAACUACUAUUGAAGGAUGUCCCAUGCUUCUUUAGCUUUUGAAGCUCUCAUAAUUCUUGGAAAGAGGUUGUUAACAACACCUUGUUGAAUAAAUAAGAGAGCUUUUGCAUCCGUUUUUUUCAAUUCUUUCAACUUUUUUUUUUUCAACCGAAGUUAGUGUAAUCACAUUUUCAAGUUCAUCAAAACCAUUUUCAACCAAAUCCCAAACACCUUGAUUUAUAAAUAAUGUUUUCAUUUUUAUGCACCAAAAAUCAUAAUUUUCUCAUUCAAAUAAUGGAAUAGAAGAAGGUUGAGAACUCAUACUUGCAACACUUGAGCUAGCCAUUGAUCUACUCUUCAAAUCCUUGGCCGUCUACUUCAAGAUUGAUGGUUUCUAGCUACACAAUCUGAUUGCACAGCAACAACACCAAUUGUUCUUCGUUUUCUCUUUCCUUGUUUGCCUUCAAAUUUUGAUGCUUCAAUGACCACCAAUUCAGUCGUAUUGUAGGUUUGGAUUUGGGCCUUCAGAUUAAAAGAAACCCUAGUAUCCUCCAUCUCUAAAAUAGAGGAAAUUUCUGAAAUUUCCAUACACAAGAGGCAUGUUGUAAGAGAUAAGAGGGCUUGAAAAGAAGAGGUGGAUUAUAUUAAAUUGGAAACAACAAGGUGGAUCGAAGUUAGAUUGAGAGAUGGAUUCGUGAAAUAGGUGGGCUCUGAUACCAGUUCUGUUGGUUGUAGUUUCAGCCUAAAAAUAAAGAUUGGCUAUAGAAAGAAAAAAUGGAAGAGUAACACCUAGGAACGGAGGAGUUAAAAACAGUCGACCAAAAAACAAAGGGUCAUUUUUCUUUUCUUCACUUUGUAUUCUCGAUUCUGUUGUUUUUUGUUGUAUAGUAUGUAGUUUUCAAACUAGAUGCAAAGAGAUUUAACUUGAGUAAAUCUCUCCACAUGGAAGCAUGACAACCACUCAAAACAUAAAAAACAAAAAACUUAAUUUUUACAUAUAUAUAACCUAAACACAGCAUAGGCACAUUAUGUUACACUAAUAUCUAGGCUCCUGCACCCACUUUGUCUACUUCUGAUGCAUGAUUUUUUCUGCUACUCAUAGAUGACUUCUCAAGAUUUUCUUGGCUUUAUCCACUGCACACCAAAGAUUAAGUGCUUACAAUGUUUAUAAAAUUUCUCGCUUUAGUGAAAACAACUUAACUUCAAAAUUAAGAGCCUACAAUCAAAUAACGAUGGUGAAUUCAAAGAAUUUUCUUCCUAUCUUGCUGCCCAUAACAUUGAACACAAGUUCUCCUACCCAUACACACCUGAACAGAAUGGGAGAGUCAAGCAGAAAUUGAGACAUGUUAUAGAAACUAGUCUUGCUUUUCUAGCCAAAGCCUCCUCACCUCUCUCUUUCUGGUUGUAUGUUUUUCAUACUGCCAUAUUCCUCAUCAACCAUCUACCUACCAAGGUACUUAAAUAUCAAUCUCCAUUUCAAACUCUUUUUGGGAAAAUUCCUAAUUAUCAUUAUCUCAAGACAUUCGGUUGUCUUUGCUACCCAUACAUUAGACCAUACAACAAGCAAAAACUGCAAUAUUGUUCUACUCCAUGCAUCUUUCUUGGCUAUAGAAACAAUCACAAAGGAUACUUAUAUUUUGAUCCAAAAACUACCAGACUUUAAAUAACUAGACAUGUUGUUUCUCAUGAAUCAAUCUUUCCAGCUCUAUCACCUUCAACUUCUUCUAAUCCUAGUUCUUCCAUUUACACUCAUGCAUUUCUUCCCAUAAACAUGUCCUAUUCUCUUGCUUUAUCUUCUCCUGACGUUCCACAGCAUAACCCCACACCUUUGUCUUCACCACUUCACUCAUCUUCUGACCACACCCUUCAAACUAUACUUAACAAUGCUCCUCAGCAUCCUCUUAUUAUUACUAAUUAUCAUAUGAUCACGCAUGCCAAGGAUGGCAUUGUAAAAAAAGAAAUCUUUUUUGUCUCACAUGCCUACUAAACCAGCAACAUUUUCUCAAGCUAUCAAAAGUUUCUACUAGUCCAAGGCUAUGUAACAAGAGUAUGAUAUUCUACUCAAAAACAAAACAUGGAAUCUAGUUCUUGCUCCUCCAAAUGCCAAUAUUAUCGAUUGCAAAUGGGUCUGCAAAUUAAAACAUAACCCGAAUGGAACCAUUGCUCGUUACAAGGCUCUCCUAGUUGCCAAAGGUUUUACCCAAACACAUGGUCUUGAUUAAUUUGAAACCUUCAGCCCCGUUGUCAAAGCUUCAAGCAUCAAAAUAGUGUUUGCUCUUAUUCUCUCUUUUGGUUGGACAAUUCGUCAGCUUGAUGUGCAAAACGCCUUCCUCAACAGUGAUCUCUAAGAGCAAGUCUUCAUGAGCCAACCACCUGGUUUUAUCAACUCUCGAUUUCCUACUCAUGUCUGCAAACUUAACAAAACCAUUUAUGUGCUUAAACAAGCUCCUAGAGCAUGGUACACCAAGCUCGGUCAUGCUUUUCUUAGCUAGGGUUUUCAAGCCUCCCAUGCAGACAGCUCCAUGUUAUUUCUUCACACUGCCAAUGAUGUGCUUAUCUUAUUGAUCUAUGUUGAUGACAUCCUCUUAAUAGGUAGUGAUCCUCAUUGUGUUUCUUCAUUUUCUUCUCAUCUUAAUGUUACAUUCGCUCCUCGAGAUCUUAGUCAUCUUCAAUAUUUUCUUGGUCUAAAGACUAUGCAAGAAAAAAACUCAGUUCAUUUGAAUCAACACGAAUAUGUCCAUGAUCUUCUUCAACGUACCAAUAUGCUUGAAUCCAAAUCUGCUUCUGCGCCUGGUAUGGUUGGUCAAAAUUUAUCCAAACAUGAUAGAGAUCUUUCCAUGAUGUCACACUAUAUUGGCACAGUUGGUGCUCUUCAAUAUCUCACAUUAACGAGACCUAAUAUUUCAUUUGUUGUCAACAUAUCAUGCCAGUUUAUGAGUAGUCCCUCCAACACACAUUGGUUUUCUGUAAAGCGCAUCUUACGUUAUCUUAAAGGCACUACAUCUUAUGGUAUUUCCAUGCAACUGUCUCUCUUUGGACAUUUAAGCAUACACUGAUGCAGAUUGGGCUUUUUGUACAAAUGACAAAAGAAGCACCAGUGGCUAUUGUAUUUUCAUUGGGCCAAAAUUGGCAACGAGUAGAAAGUUGUUUCAAGAAGUAGUGUGGAAUCUGAGUAUCGUGGCAUAACUGUUGUCGCUUCCGAAAUUGCUUGGAUUCAAUCUCUACUCACCGAGUUAUGUCUUUCUCCUUCUGUGGUGUGACAACCAAAGUGUUGCACAUCUUGCUGCCAAUCCCAUAUUUCAUGGUCAAGCAAAGCAUAUUGAACUCGACCUUCAUUUUAUUCGUAAUAAAGUCCUUCAAAACCAACUUAGUAUUCGGUAUCUUCUCUCUUUCAACCAAAUCAUUGAUAUCUUCACUAAACAUAUCUCAAGCUCUCGGUUUUUUUAGCUUUCGAACCAAACUCUUUAUUGUUCUCAAACCUUUGUUCCCAAACCUGCGAGCUUGUGGGGGGAUGAUAGGCCACAACUGCACCAGCAACAGAAGGCUGAUGCAACAACAGAACUAAGAUCACUCAAUGCAAGAACUAUGCAAGUAGUUAGGAAUUUGGUAGUGUAGUUUGAAUUGUGAAAAUAGUUAGGAAUUUGGCAGUGUAGUUUGUUACAACUGAAACUAUAAAUAGUAGAGAAGAGAACCUCUCCUGAACAUGUAAUUCUUCCAAUCAAUAUACAUAAACUAAAUUUGCAUUCUCCUUAUACAAACUUAUACUCCUUUCUCAUCUUCUCAUCUCAAAUUUCAUCCACUUGGAUAGUAAUAAAUUUCUAUAUAUGAGUAAUUCUUUUUGUGUUACUUAAAAUAUCUUAAGUUUGUUUUUGAGAAAAACAAAAAUAGAAAAUGGUUUUAUGUUCUACGUCUUUCAACUAUUCUCACUUAUUUUAAAAAAUAAAUAUAAAAAUAUGUAAAAUGAUAAUAAAUAAAUAAAUAAAGUACUGACGUAAAAGUUAUUUUUUAAAAAUAUAUAUAUAUUUAAAAACAUAAAAAAAAUAAGUUAAUAAUAUUUCUAAUUCUAAAAUAAAAUUUUAUUCACAAAACAUGAAAGAACAAUUUUUAGAAACAAUUCUCAAAUAUCAUUUUUCAUAAUUGUUUUUUAAAACACUUCCCAUUUUUUUAUAGUUUUUUUUUUAAAGAAUUAUUUAUUAAGAGUCAUCUUGUCAGUGAUCCUAAGAAGUGUUUUUAGUCAAAAAAAAAGUUUUUGAAAAAACAUUGGAUGUUUGACAGAAUUAAGGAAAUAUCUUUCAAAUUUUGAAAAAUCAUUUUCUAGAAAAAUGUUUAAUAGAUGAUUUUACGAAAAAACAAUUUAUGAGAAAACACUGCCAAUAAAAAAAAAUUAAAUAGAAACACUUUCAAAUACACUUAAAAUGUUUUUCUUAGAAGUAUUAUAAGUGAUUUUUUAACUUUUUAAAACCAUUGUUUAAAUUUUAUCUAAUUUUUUUUUCUCAAAAAUAUUUUUGUACGUAAGCUAGAACUAGAAGUACUUUCUAACUUCAAAGAAUCUUUACCCGGCCGUUAACGUUUUAGACACCGCCGUUACCAGGCCCUUCUCUCAUGCAAUUGCUUAUAUAAAAACAAACACUUUUGUUACUUGGUACUAGAGCGCAUUAGAACUUUAGACAAAACAGAAGAUUCCUUACUUUUAUUUAGGCAUCAAACCCACUCAUUCAAGCAUAUUUAAAUUUAAAUGCAGUCGUCCAUGUAUACACAAAAGACCCAUUACCAAGAAGGUGAUCAUCCUUUUUCAGGGUUGGUUGUUCAAAAUUCAAAAUCAGUUGGCUGAAGAACAGAAAGGAAAAGAACAGAGCUGAAUUUGCAGAAAAGUAUUUUUUUUCUUUUUCCUUUUCUAAGGAUCUUGGAAUCCUUUUCCUAGUAUAGACAGAACAUUAGAGGUAUAUAUAUGGUAGUGGGAAGUGAUUCUUCCCCAUAAAACAUUUUCUUUUCUAUUGAGUCAUGGGAUUCUAUCUUCAGCUUCAAGGGAUCAUAGUUUUUAGCCUUCUGUUUGCUAUCAUCUGUUUGUGAUUGAUUAAGGGCAAAGGGAACAGAAACAGAGGAAAAAGGGCACCAGAACCAUCACGGGCAUGACCUUUAAUCGGACACCUUCAUCUUCUACGAGUAGGCAAGCCCCAACAUCAAGCAUUUGGAGCCAUGGCAGAUAAGUAUGGACCAAUCUUUUGCUUUCAUAUUGGCCUGCGCAAAACUUCGGUGGUUAGCAGCUGGGAAGUAGCAAAAGAAUGUUUCACUACCAUGGACAAAGCAUUUGCCACUCAACCCAGAUCCUUGGCAGGAAAGCUCAUGGGCUAUGACCAUGCCAUGUUUGGCUUCUCUCCUUGCAGGGCAUACUGCGUGAUGUAAGGAAGCUGGCCUCAAUUGUGUUGGAUUGUGAAGCUUGAACUAGUUUUAUUGCGCUUCGCUCAGGAUGUCGGGAGUCGAGCUGCCCGAUCAACUCAUGAGGGUCAAAUGGUUGCAAAGUUUGUUGACAUAGGUGAGAUUCAAACAUGUGAUGAAUGUUCUGUAUAGUGAUAGCCAAAGUGCAAUACAUUUUGCUAAGAAUUCAGCAUUUGACUAGACAUAUAACAAUUCUUUAUCACUUCAUCAGGCCUUUGCUUAAAAGUGGAGUGUUAACACUUGUGAAGAUACACGAUAACAAGAAUCCAACUUACAUGUUGAUCAAAGCACUAAUAGCAGAGAAUCUAGAGCUAUGCUUAGCUUCAGUGGGUCAAGGGUAAGGAUAGGUUGUUUCAGUGCACUAUACCUAUUAAUCAUUGAAGGAGGAGGUUUAUUGUGUUUCAGUCCAAGCAUAAGAUUAUUAGAUUGUCAAGCCUGAAUCAAUUUUGUUGUAUUUCGCUCGGAAUGUUAGAGAUUAAGAUGUUAGGUCAGCUCAAGGUGAUCGAGCUCCCAAUGAGCUCGCAAGGGUUGAGCUCCCUAAUGAGCUCGAUAAAGGGAUCAAGUUGCCCGAUCAACUCAUGGGAGUUGAAAGGGGUAGCGCCCCUUGAAAAAAAAAAAUAUAUAUAUAUAUAUGCAUUGAUUGAUGAGUUUACACCUAUUAUAUAUUUAACUUUUUUACGUUUAGGGUUUUGUUUUUCUUAGAGUGCAGCCACAAUUGAGAGAUUUUUUUUUAGAGCUUCAUCAUUCUAACUCAUUUUUCAUUUUGAUUAGUGAAUUGUUGAGUAUUGGUGCACUCUGUGGACAUAGGGAUCACAUUUAUCGCCGAACCAAGUUAAAAUUCUUGUCUUUUUCUUUAUUUUCUACUCAUGUGUGUGUGAUUUGAUUAACAGGUUGAGCUCUUCUCAAGCCACCAGCUUGAGUUACUCAAUCAUGUCCGGGACUCAGAAGUCAAGCUUUUCAUCAAAGAGCUCUACAGGCAAUGGAUACAAAAUGGGGAUAGACCUCUCUUGGUCGAGAUGAAGGAGAAGUGUUGGCACCUGGCAGCAAAUGUAAUGGUGAGCACAGUAGCUGGGGAACGGUAUUUUGGCACCGUUACAAAUGACUAUGAGUCAAGACAGUGCCGCAAGGCCCUUGGCGAUUUCUUAUAUCUCUCGGGGAUAUUUAUGGUUUCUGAUGCAAUCCCCUUCCUUGGCUGGUUGGACACAGUGAGAGGAUAUACGGCAAAAAUGAAGAGAACAGCUAGGGAGGUGGAUCAGGUGCUGGGAAGCUGGGUGGAGGAGCACGGCUGGAAAAGGGUCUUUGGAAGUAUGAACGAGGCUGAUCAGGACUUUGAGUGCUUUUGGUAAUGAUUAUACGAAGUGUUUUUAGUUUUUUUUUAACAUUUGAAAAUUUCUAUCUUUUAAAUAUUAAAGAUAUUAAAAAUACUUCUUAAAAUCACUAUCAAAUAUACUCUUUAUCCAUAGGAUGUUGUGUCUGUUAUUAAGGAUGGUCAAUUCUCCCAUCAUGACCAUGACACUGUCGUUAAGGCUACUUGCUUGGUAUGUUUCUUCUACUUUCCUUGGUCAAAUUCCAUAAACCUCCACACACUUCUGUACGUAAGGAAACAGCAAACCUCCAUCUUGAUUUGUUUUGUCCAGCUGUUCCACUUACCAUUUCAGGACUGAUGAUUAACUCUCAACUUUCUUUGACAAAAUUUAUGGGAAUAAUGAAAACUAUGAUAAACUUUUAAAUUGUUCUACCGACAGCUAGACUCACUAUUUUUUAACACAUACUGAUCAAAGGAGCCAUAUCACCGGCUCAAAAGACCAACAUGGAUGUAAUGUUGAUGUAGACUCUUAUAUAGGCGGCUUUGAUUCAACAGUGAUCACACUGACCUCAGCCCUCUCUCUGCUAAUGAACAAUCCUAGCACUCUAAAAAGAGCACAAGAUGAGUUAGACAUCAAAGUGGGAAAGCAUCGCAAAGUGGAUGAGUCAGACAUAAAGAACCUAGUCUACUUGCAAGCCAUCAUCAAGGAAACCUUACGACUGUACCCUGCUGCACCGCUUUCAGUGCCACGUGAGGCCAUGGAGGAUUGCAACGUGGCAGGCUUCCACAUCCAAGCUGGGACUCGCCUUCUGGUUAACCUGUGGAAGUUGCCCCGGGACUCCGAAAUUUGGCCGGACCUUUGGAGUUCCAACCUGGGGGGUUCCUAACGAAGCAUGUGGAUUUUGAGGUCGUGCAUCUGACACUAGCCAUCUGACACUUCCUAAAAUAAUAUUUAAGAUUAUAUUUAGUUUUUGGAAAAUAUGAAAGAAAACAUGAGGAAAAAAAAAAAAGGAAAAUAGAAGAAAAUUAAAAAAUUAAAAAAAAAUCAAUAAUUCAUUUUUAUAACAUAAUAACUUAAAUGAAUAAAUACAUUAAAGAUAUGGUUUUCAUGGGACAAAUUUCUUACAAUAAUGCGCCUAACUUGGAUUAACUCCUAAAAACUUGCAUCAUGCUGGAGGCUCUCCUAUUAUAACAAGAAAAGUCUUCAUCUUUGAGCUUUCAAAAGCAUUUGCAUCAUGAUUAAACAAAGGAUUAAACAAUAAUCUUUUGUUUUGUUAUUAUCAAAAUAGUCUUUAAAAAGCUUUAGCCUAACAACUCAUGGUUUCUUAUGUAAUCCCUUCCUUGGUUGGUUACACACGGUGAAGGGGGUAUAAGGCAAAAAAUGAAGAGUACAGCUAGGGAGGUGUAUCAUGUGCUUGAAAGAUGAUUGGAGGAGCAUCCUUUCAAGAGGCUUGCUGGGAGUAUAAAUGAAGCUAAACAAGACUUCAUCCAUGUCAUGCCGUCUGUUAUAGGAGAUGGACAGUUUUCUGGUCAUAACACUGACACAAUCAUUAAGGGUGCUUGCUUGGUAUCUCCCUGUUCUUUCUAUUUUUUGAUGAAAUUAACAGCACCGAGUUGCACUGUUUUCACUUGCACUAUUUUCAGUGUUGCAUUAGUAGUGUUGAAUUGCAAAGCAUGAAUCAGUUUUAUAUAUCACAUAGAAGAUGUUGGGGGUCAAAUCACCCGUUGAGCUCACAAUGGUCAAGGUGCCCAUUUAGCUUUGUAGAGAUUGAAGGGGCAAGGCCUAUAGAUAAUUUUUUUUAUUUAUUAAAUGAUGAGUUUAUCCCUAUUGUAUUUAAUCGGCUUAUGAUUUAGAAUUUCCAUGAAGGGUUUUGUUUGAGAGAGAGAAUUGUAUGUAUGACCAUGAUUGCGAGGAGAAGGAUAACUCUCGCCAUUAUAAUUUUUCUAUCUUUAUUAAUUAGAUUAGUAGAUUCUUAAGUGUUGAUAUGAUUCUUAAGCGUAGUGAUCAUAUUGACCAUAGAAAUAGAGUAAAUUCUUUUAUUUUGUCUUUCUUUAUUUCUAAUUGUGUGUAUAAUUAAGUUAACGAAAGGACUGCACUGUUGCAGGAUUCCAUAUUAUCCAAAGUAACCAUGACGAUAUUAUCUUUUGAACUCUACUUCUAUUAGCAGCAGCAAAAGUAAUAGCCUAAUGUGUGCAACAAAGUCUUCAGGUUAGUUCAGGCACUGUCUACUCCAGCAUAGAAAGUGGGAAAAAAUGUGUGCCACAACCUUCCCAAUUAGUUCAGGCACUGUCUACUCCUUAAUUCUGAACCAUUCAGUCCAAACGGGCAUCCACCUUACACUUAGGUAAGGCAAAGCUUCUCAAUAUUAUCCGUGUAAUGUGUGGUGUGUGGUAAAGAGCAUGCCAAACUUUAUAGCUAAAUCAACCCCAUUUUUAUGGGGCUAGAUACACUCCCACGUGAUUUUCAAUGAAUAAAUAUGCAUCAUAACAACUGGCCAGAGAGAUGGGUUUUUUCAUACUCAGAACUAUCAUAUAUAAGACUUCGAAGGAGCUUUCAUAUUUUGUAUCAUUGACAGCUGUCUAUAGUUUCCAUAUUAGGAUGGCACAUGUGUGGAACAUGAAUUCGACCUGUCGGUGUUCUAGUGUGUGUAGUUUUGAGCCAUUUUGGAGAAGUGAUUCUUUCCCCUGAUGCAUUCGACAAUGUACUGAGGGUGGUGACCUGCCCCUUUUCUCAAUGUAAUCACGUUUUAUAUAUUUUUUUUAGGUAUAAGAAGCACUCACAGAAAGUGUGACCUGGGUAUGUAUAAAUAUCCCUGUUCUGAACAGAGAAAACUGUGAAAACAGAAUAGAAAACCAUUUUUCUCUCUCCAGCCCUCUUUCUCUUCACUCUGGUACUAUCCAGUCAUGGGAUUCUCCCUUCAGCCUCAAGAUAUCACAGUUUUGGGCUUCUUCUUGCUACAAUCUGUCUGUUGUUGGCAACAGCACUUAAUGCCAAAGGGAACAAGAAGAAAGGCAAAAGGCCACCAGAGCCGUCCGGGCAAUGGCCUCUUAUCGGUCACCUUCAUCUUCUAGGAGCAGACAAGCUGCUACAUCGGACACUUGGAGACAUGGCUGAUAAGUAUGGACCCAUCUUUUGCGUUCGUCUUGGCCUCAAAA
rnacentral:lncRNA from 1 species